GCGUUGCAUGGAAGAUAAGGAUAAGAAAGGGAUAGUUUUGGUUCAAAUUCAAAUAUUGGUUGAUCCUUAUCACCAAUUCAAAUCAAAUUUGUAUUAAAUUUUGACCCAAACUUUAUCCUUAUCUUAUAAACUCAUAGAGGGUUCGACCAACAUUAGAAUGGUAUAAAAAAUCUCACACAAAAAUACUUUAUGCAUAGAGAAAGGUGGUGGC
rnacentral:lncRNA from 1 species